UGCGUAAAAUGCGCCUUUAAACGGUAACGUUUAUCGAAAACUCCUUUAAUUGCUGGAAAGUCCUUUAUGGAAAACUAGCAGCCAAGGUUUUGCUUGCACCUUUAAUUAGUAUAAUAUAAAUAUGAUUAUACUUUUAAGAGGAUGCACAAUUGAACUAUAGAAAAAUUUGGAUAGAUGCUAACGGACCUAUACCUAAAGAUUCUGAUGGAAGAACAUAAGAAAAGAACAUCAGCAAAAACAUUAGAAAUGGUUAAGAACGGGACCCAUCCUGCACAAAAAGAAAUCACAUGUGAUUUCUGUGGUCACAUUGGUAAAGGUCCUGGAUUUUAUCUAAAACAUAAUGACAGAUGUAAAUUAAAUCCAAAUAGAAUUCAAUUGAAUUGUCCAUAUUGUGAUAAGAAAGAUUUAUCACCAUCAACAUAUAAACGAUGGCACGGCGACAAUUGCAAAACAAGGUUCAACGACUAGUCUUCGGACGUAGGGUCAAGCGACUCGAAAUGGGGAGAAUCCCUCCGGGAUUGUGAUAUAGUCUGGACUGCAUGGUAACAUGCAGCAGUUCAUAAGAGAACGGGUUGAGAAUUAGCGAGCUCAAUCGAACAUACGGUAC
rnacentral:ncRNA from 1 species